rnacentral:rRNA from 1 species
UACGUAGGGGGCUAGCGUUAUCCGGAAUUACUGGGCGUAAAGGGUGCGUAGGUGGUUUCUUAAGUCAGAGGUGAAAGGCUACGGCUCAACCGUAGUAAGCCUUUGAAACUGGGAAACUUGAGUGCAGGAGGGGAGAGUGGAAUUCCUAGUGUAGCGGUGAAAUGCGUAGAUAUUAGGAGGAACACCAGUUGCGAAGGCGGCUCUCUGGACUGUAACUGACACUGAGGCACGAAAGCGUGGGGAGCAAACAGGAUUAGAUACCCUGGUAGUCCCUGAGCGGG